GUGUUUUUUUCAAAGGAAGAGCAAAAAGUCCAAAAGUGACACCAGCACAGCCUCUGGGUGAAAUUUUGUGUCCCUGUUUUUCAAAUGUGAAGAAGAGUUUCUUAAUAAAAGUGUUAAGAAUUCUUUGAAUGUAUUUCUAUUCCCCAGGAUCGUUCUUAGAAACGACUGAGUCAGUUUUGUUCUGGUUUUCCUCAAAAAUCAGGUGGAGGCACAGUAUAUGUGCUCAUAGUCCAGAGAAAUGUUUUUGACAAACUGGGAGUAGCUGAAAAUGUGACCUUAAAAUGGGAAGUGUUAACUACCCACAACCAACAAAGUGCAUUGAUGGUAAUGUUACAAAUAUAAAACAUAGUACCUACUUACUAAACUAAACUACUCAACGAAAGCUGGAGAUGCUAGCAUGUAUUUUGUCCAUGCAAUUUUAAUUCCACUCCAUUUUUCCUCUGUGGUCACUAGGGCAGAACAGAAACUUAUCAUAGACUCUAUAUGAGUGCUUGCACACAGAGAAGAAAAGCUGAGGUUUGCUGAAUCACUUGGUGUGUAAGUGCUUGGCUCUAUGCCUUCAGCACUGCGUUAGUGUGUUUGUUGUGAGUUUUAUCAGAUUGAUUUUCCCCUCUUCUUUGAUACCAGAUUUACGUUUCAUUCUGUACAGCCUUUUCUACUGCUUGAGCAGAAGGGCAUAAACCUGUCACUGUGAGAUUUCUAAUAGCUAAGCUAAAGAAGGGAUAGCUAUUUUAAGUUAUUUUCUGCUCUCAAAUGAGGCAGGCUUUCGACCGUCAGGAAACUGAAAGUUGGCCCUGCUUCUGAGUUAUCUAUAUGAAACCAGAAGUCUUUAAGUAUUUCUUGCAAGACUUGUAGCUGGUCAUUACAUUCACUUCUGGUUUUUACUAGAUGGUAUAGCAUCAAGUUAAUUUUCCUGACUCAUUCCGAGUGUUUUUACAGGUCUUUCCUGAUACCUUUUAUGCUAUGUAGGAUGGCAGCUGUUGGGAGAGUCUGUACAGCAAACAGUAGGUUUUGUUCAGUGCACUCAUGAAUAAAAUGAAGAGCCAUUUUGUCAAAUCAUGGGCAAUAGGAAAAUCAUGGGUAGAGUAUUUUCUGUGUAGUGAUUGUUUGCAGUAGUUUAGUUAAGAAAACCAAAUGGGACAAAAAUAUACCUCUGGGAGUAGCAUUUUGAGGAAAAUGACUUACAAACAGCCAAGUCCUAGCAAUGAGAAGGCAAGGGAAUCCCCAGUUUCUGUUCCCCUGUUCACCCACUAAAUAAAUCACGGGUCACACCAAAUGGUAAGUUGCGCAGUACAGAGAUGUUUGCUUUUCUGUAAUUCAGGGUAAAUGUUUGGCAAAAUUAUCAGUCUGUUUAAUGAUAUUCCUCUUACAGAAAUAAGUCAUCAGCAGCGUGUUCAUUUUCUCUCCUGUUCUUACAUGCUGUCACUUCAAGUGGGGGAAAUUCACUAAAGAUCUUGAUUACCUUCUUAAGAAGACAAAAAUAAUCACAAGUCUGUUUCUUGCUUGGUUUUGGUUCUCCACUAAAGUCUGGCUGAGAAUACAAACCAUAGGAGUGUCAGAUCCAAGUUAACACUUGGGGCUGUGUAUUUUUAUCACUCAGCCGAAAUUCCAGUCAACCCAAAUGGAAGCUUUGCCUGUAAGAGGGGCAGUAGUAAACAUUCUUCCAAGCAGGAACAGUAAUGAUGAGACAGUAAUUGUCUGAGUAAAUUAUCCAAGCAGCCUUCUUUCCUUUCUCAACUUCCUACGUUUCUGGUGUCCUCUGGCAUUACAGCAGAGAUCAUACAGAAUGGAAACUGCAGGAAAAGGCACAGCCAGCUGUCUUUGGCAAGAUUUCUUGGUGAUGAGAGCUCAAGACGCUACAGAGACUAAAGCUUCAUGCAUGAAAAUCCUUUACCCUCUUGUGCUGGGAGGAGCAUGAAACCACACAAGUAUGACAAGCUGCUAGAAGCAGAUGUAGAGAGAUUUACUGGGAAGGCAGUAGUUUGCAUGCCCUUUCAGGAAAUCAUUAUUGUGACCACGAGGGGGCAUUUUAGUAAGACACCGCAAAACCAACUGUAUUACUCAUGGUCACUGAGGGAGUGGCAUCACGGCCCUUAAAGGACAAGCUGAUGUGACUGCCAGGAGUAAGGUCACUAGAACAGUAAUCAGGCACUUUAGUCCAAAUCCCCUCCCUCUUUCUUCUUACCCUUUUGAUAUUGGGUGUGAUGCUUAUCUUCUACAUGGGGCUAGUGCAAUGGAAAAAUUUAACUCGUGGCUACCUGUCUCAGCCUCUGUGAAACAGAACAUUCAAGAGGUUGAUUUUCAACAGUACCUACCUGGCUUGCACCCCAAAAUCUCACUGGAGACUGAUCAGAAAUGAAACUACAACAUCGGUGGCUUUACUCUAUAUAAUUUAUCUCUUCUAGAUCUGCAUGUUAAGGAACCUUUCCAUUAAGCAGUUACCUUUUCUUUAUAUUCAGCUUUAUACAUGACAUUGCCCUUCUAGCCAACUCUAGACCUUGUUCUAAUUAAUCCUUCUUGCCAGGAGCUCAUUUCUGUCAUCUUUUCCUUGGGUUAGGCCUUCUCCUUCCUCUGGUUCCUGCAUUGACUUGCCAGAAGCAGCUUGUGGUGGCAGUUUUCCCUUCAUGCCUGCUUUGUUUCCAUUCAGCAGGCUAUGUGUCUAGAUUUGUUUUUUCCACUCCACAGGGCAAAAACCCUGUUCAAUCCUUUCAAUGUGUAUUGUGCAAUAGAUUAUUAUUCUUCCUGGCGCAUUGUUCCUUUUAAUCAAAAAUGAAAGAAGAUUGACAUGUAUAUUCUUUACUCACGUAGAGGAAAGUGCUUCUUCCAGGCAUCUGGACAUGUUCUGAGUCUCAUGGUGGUUGACAUAUUUACUAUACCUAAGGCACAGUGUUCCACACUGAAAACAUGGAGGAUGUUGUUUGGACAUCGUCUGUUUUUAGCAGUACUGUGCUUCACAAGUGGAAUGCAGAUGAACGAGUAUUUAUCAAGUGUAUCGUUUAUGAGAGGUUAACCACUACAUUGAUUACAAAAAGGACGUUGAACUUUCCCCAGAGUCCUAAAAGCCAAAUUGCAAGUCAUGCCGCAACUGCCAAAUGAACAAGACUGUGAAAUAACAAAAGCCAUCGCUGCUUGGCGUGAGAAAGCAAGGGCGCCCAACCUUGUCGUUAAGAAAGCUCAGACUAAUAAUUAUACCCUUACUAGGACGUUGCCCUUUUUAGUAAAUCUAUAUUAUUGCAGCAUACUAGUAAAUUGGGUGUAUAUGUGCACACACAGUCCGAACAGACACAGCUGGAGAGUUAACUGUUCAGGUGGGGUGAAGCAGCGGUGUUGAUCGGGUAUCAACAGGAAGACUGCUCAGUGAGGUAGCACUGUGACACACAGCCCCAGGCACUUUGUAGAAAGGGCUAAUGCCUGUCCAGAUAAGAUGAGUAGCUGCCUAAUUCACAAACUGCAGAUAUGCUUUGCAUACGUAGGAGGACUUCAUGCAAUGAAGGUGCUACGUAUUUAUGUACAGCCUGAAGAGUGGUGUCACUUUCGGCUAUUCCUGGGUGUAAUCCUUUAACUGUACAAGUCAGAACUAUGAGCCAUCGGGCUGGAGAGUUAAAAAUAAGGUGUAAGGCUUCAAAUUAAAAGGAGAUAUAUCUGGUGGGGCUGUACUGAAACAAUGUGCCUUUUUAUCUCUUUAGUAUUGGCUACAGAUAAUGGUCUUCUGAGACUCUUGAAGCUCAAGGUGAUGUUAAGUAGCCUAAAUGCUGGGUGAGCUCUGAGGAAAAAGGGAAGUCUUGCAAUAAAAACCUGGAUGAGCAAUUCUUAUCCUCUGUUGGUGAGGCCAGUGCAUAAUGGCUGGCUGGUAUGUGCUGGGGUUUUGGGGAGCAGAAGAAUUAAUGGGAACAUAUGUUGCCUAUCUUUUCUUCAGUAU